AGUGGGCUUUCUCCCCCUCAAUGAUGCUUGUUUUCUCCCUUCGAGUUUUUUUCAGUAAAAUUUUCUUCGCCGAUAAAAAAGAGAGGAUAUGCAUUCUACUCCUAUAUCUUCUACCAUACGUGCAUUUGAAAAAAGGAAGAGAGCGAUAGAGCGGUGAUAAAUGAUGGGUAGAGGAAAGAUAGAGGUGAAGAGGAUUGAGAACAACACUAGCAGGCAAGUAACCUUCUCCAAACGCCGGGCCGGGCUUUUCAAGAAGACCCAUGAGCUUUCGGUGCUGUGCGAGGCCCAGAUCGGUCUCAUCGUCUUCUCAACCAAAGGGAAACUCUUCGAGUACUGCACUCAACCUCUCAGCAUGGGACAAAUCAUAGAAAGAUAUAUGAGUGUGAAAGGGACUCGUAUAAUACCCGAUCGUGAUAACCGGGAAGAAGUAUACAACGAGAUUACAAAAAUGAAAAAAGAAACUCGCGACCUGCAGCUGAGUUUGCAACGCUACAAAGGCCAUGACUUGCUUUCUGCAAAAUACGAGGAUUUGGAUGAGCUUGAACAAAAGCUCGAAUCCUCGGUCAACAAAGUCCGAGCUCGAAAGUUUCAGCUCCUCCAGCAGCAAUUGGAAAACCUAAAGAGGACGGACAAAAUGUUGGAGAAGGAAAACCAAGACAUUUUCAAUUGGUUGAUGAGUGACCAGAUGCAGAAGCACCAUCAAGCAGAGAUGGACCAGCAUCAAGCAAUGACGGAGCUGAAGCUAGUUGGACAUGAUCAUCACCAUGACCAACAACAGCAAGUGUUGGGAUAUGUUGAUCAUCAUCAGUAUUUUCCAUUUUACGGAGGAAAUGAUCAGGGCCUGCAGCCCAGUAGUAGCAGUACUGGUGUUGAUUUUCCCUUCCUCCAGCACCACCACCACCAUUACCAUCUCCAGCCCACUCAGCCCAAUCUUCAGGACUCCGCCGCCGCCACUCUCCUCCCCGGCCCGUAGCUACGGGACAUAUUUUCUUUGAAAAUAUAUACAAGAAUGAUAUUGCAUUGUAGUCGGAGAUCACUGAUAAUUCGUCACGAGGAGGCCUAUGGUAUCAGCAACAGAAAGGAAUAUUUCAAGCCAUCUCUAUAAUUUCCAUUGGUGUCAAGACAUAAAUUGCUAUUGAUUUGAAUAUUUGUAUGAUAGUAUGAAGACACUUAAUUGUGCCUAGCUUCAAAUACUUGUCAUCUUUUUGGUGAAUCACCUCUUCAAAUACUAAGCUUCAGAAUACAUAUCUAAACACUUCUGUAUGCAUGUUUUAUAUGAAUUUCAUGCACGAAUGAGUUGUGA